UACGGGGGGGGCAAGCGUUGUUCGGAAUUACUGGGCGUAAAGGGCUCGUAGGCGGCCAACUAAGUCGGAUGUGAAAUCCCCAGGCUCAACUUGGGAACUGCAUCCGAUACUGGAUGGCUUGAAUUCGGGAGAGGGAUGCAGAAUUCCAGGUGUAGCGGUGUAAUGCGUAGAUAUCUGGAGGAAUACCGGUGGCGAAGGCGGCAUCCUGGACCGACAUUGACGCUGAGGAGCGAAAGCUAGGGGAGCAAACGGG
rnacentral:rRNA from 1 species